UACGUAGGGGGCAAGCGUUGUCCGGAUUCAUUGGGCGUAAAGAGCGUGUAGGCGGCCAGGUAGGUCGGUUGUGAAAACUGGAGGCUCAACCUUCAGAGGUCGACCGAAACCAUCUGGCUAGAGUCCGGAAGAGGAGAGUGGAAUUCCUGGUGUAGCGGUGAAAUGCGCAGAUAUCGAGAAGAACGCUCGCAGCGAAAGCGAAGCUCUGGGCAAAUUCUGACGCUGAUGCACGAAGGCUAGGGGAGCAAACGGG
rnacentral:rRNA from 1 species